rnacentral:tRNA from 1 species
GAAUGUAGCUCAGUGGUAUAACAUGUGUCUAGCAUGCAUAAGAUUCUGGGUUUGAUCUCCAGCAACA